UAAAAACCCCGACUUCGGAAGGGGUGUAUUUAUUAGAUACAAAACCAAUGCCCUUCGGGGCUCUUUGGUGGUUCAUGAUAACUAUACGAAUCGCACGGCCUUGCGCCGGCGAUGGUUCAUUCAAAUUUCUUCCCUAUCAACUUACGAUGUUUGGGUAUUGGCCAAACAUGGUUGCAACGGGUAACGGAGGGUUAGGGCUCGACCCCGGAGAAGGAGCCUGAGAAACGGCUACUACAUCCAAGGAAGGCAGCAGGCGCGCAAAUUACCCAAUCCCGACUCGGGGAGGUAGUGACAAUAAAUACUGAUACAGGGCCCUUUCGGGCCUUGUAAUUGGAAUGAGUACAAUUUAAAUCCCUUAACGAGGAACAAUUGGAGGGCAAGUCUGGUGCCAGCAGCCGCGGUAAUUCCAGCUCCAAUAGCGUAUAUUAAAGUUGUUGUGGUUAAAAAGCUCGUAGUUGAACCUUGGGCCUGGCUGGCCGGUCCGCCUCACCGCGUGCACUGGUCCGGCCGGGCCUUUCCCUCUGUGGAACCCCAUACCCUUCACUGGGCGUGGCGGGGAAACAGGACAUUUACUUU
rnacentral:rRNA from 1 species